UUGCGCAGUAUCCCGAUCCAGGGUUUGCCUUGAACAGUCGAGGUUUGCAUAUGCGCUCUCUGGCCCAGUUCGGAAGACGGCCGUCGUAUGCGCAUGUUCCGUCUCCCCUUAGGACGUAGGUGCAGUGGGCCUUGCCCAAUCCCCCAAUGGCUUCCGACGCAUGCGUAUUCCGAAAGGAGCUGUAAAAAUUUGGACGUGGCCGGAUUAUGGCUGAGGUAUGCGAGAAAGAGUGUACCUGCGAUCAUUAGCAUGCACAUUUUCCCUGAAUCUCAAGUAGGGACCACAGGACAGCAAUACGGAGCAGGAACAUUGAUCGCCUUAGCCUGAGGAAGGUGUGUGUGAUUGCAACACUCGUACCAUCAGUUCAACAAAGAUUAAAGAAAAGUCAGCACAAACCUAGGAUGACCGUUGGACUAUCACAGUCUGUUAGAUUUGGCUGCUUAGAAGAUAAUCUCUCUGAAACAUUAAGAAAACUGAGUUAUAUGUCAGCUGUAGCUCAGUGGCGAGCACUCCAGACAGAGUCCAAAGGUUGGACAUUCAAGUCCCAUUUCUGAAAGGAGGGAGGCAUAAUCUAGCCUGACAUUUGAUACAGUUCUCAUUGCAUGAGCACUCCUUGCCAGAGAAAAUGACGUUGAAUGAAUCUGCACCAUUUCUCACCAUGGGGUAGGUUUGCUACCACGAGCUUCUUGUUGGGUGGGGUGGGGGGGGGGGGGGGGGUGUCUACAGGGCCCAUGUGAUCUGGUGUCGUACAGGAAAACCAUUUGAAUUGAAUUGAAUUGAAUCAUUCAUUGUCGCAUGUAUUCGAUAUAAAAUACAGUGAAAAGUUUAUACCAUCACCAUGCAUCAGCACCAUUCACAUUUGCCUAAAAUAAAAUACAAAAUAAAGAAA